UUUCUUGAGACACUACUAGCUCCUUUUCCAAGGCUCCUAAGCCAAGCCAGUCUUUUCCCUGCCCUGAAUUGUCCCAGGGCCAGAUCCCAGGCCACCAGACACCGCCCCUCUCGCUCCCCCCUCCAGGACGAUUCCGAUUGGACGACUUUCAACUGUUUGCUCCGCCCCACCACGGAGCCCUUCCUGGAAACCCCAAUAAAGGCUCUGUCUCAGGCCCUCCCCUCUCACUCUUCUCCGCCAACCCUCCCCAGGCCUGCGGCUUCUCCUGGGUCCCUGCCUGCUGCGUGGCGCCUCUCCCGACCGAAGGAGCGAAGCAGCAGCCUCGGGACCCAAUUCCUGCAUACAUGGUGUAAGCAAACAAUGUGAAACUUGGUUUCAGAAACAGAUGUGAAACUUGAUUUAAGAAACAGAAGUGAAACUUGAUUUAAGAAACAGAAGUGAAACCUGAUUUAGGAAACGAUCGACAGGACUUCAGAAAACUCUGUGAAGCUUGAUUUAAGAAACAGAUGUGAAAGUUGGUUUAAGAAACGAUCGACACGACUUCAGAAAGCUAUGUGAAACUUGAUUUAAGAGAAACCAGUUCGGCUGAUGUGGAAGACUCCGACCAUGUAGAAAUGGAGCCUGUUUUGCCUUCCUCGAGGACUGACAGUUGAAACGAUCAAUGGAAUGAUCAGCACAAACAGAAAAUAUUACUGUUACUGUAAUAUUAUGUGAUAUCCUCUAUAUCUAAGAUAUAUAUUAUAGAUAUGAUGUAAGAUAAGAUAUAUAUUAAAUAUAUAAUGUAAUAUAUAUUAUAUAACAUGUACUCUCUCUAUAUAUACAUAUGUAUCACGUAAUGUAUAUAUAUAAUGUAAUAUAAUAUUGCUGUUACUGGAAAGAUGACCGCAAGAAGUUGAUUUUUUAUCUACCAGAAGUUUUCUUCGCUGUGUUUUAAGUCGGCGAUCUGCUUUGAUCGUUUUGUUCGCUUCUGCUGUUUUGAGAAGAACGAUUUGAAAGUGAGCCAAAUAAAGUGUUCUUAAAUGGAAUGCGGUGUCUGGCCUCUUUGUGUGCUGAGGUCUGUGUGGGCUCAGGGCCAGGGUCUCUGCUCUGGGCCCUCCAGGAGGGUGGGUCAGUGGAACAGAGUCCUGGUCAGGCGUGGGGUGGAGACCUCUCUGGGGCCUAGGGCGGCCUGCCCAGGGGCUUGAGUCUGGAUGUGGUUCAGGGAAGGGGGGAGGGGAGGCCCAGAGGCUACAAGUGCAGCUCAGAGUCCUGAGGGCCUGGGAGAACCUCCUGCCUCAGGAGGCCACUCUCCAGGGAGGCUGAGUCUCAUGGUGGGUGGUCUGAGGGGCAGUAUCUGACCCGAGGACGAGGACGGGGCUAGGAAUUGGACCAGGGGACAAAUGGCAGCCGGGAGGAGAAAGCGGGGAAAUGACAGUGCACGGGGAAACCUCCCGGAGGCUUCCUGAUGUCAACUGCUUGGUGGCUGACACCCCGGAGGCCCAGAUCCAGCCCUUCGUCAAAUGUUGUCCACGUCUUCUCAGGUGGCUGCGCUGCGAGCCCCCGCUGGCGAAAAGUCCUCCGACCCGGACUGAUCUGGGCCUGUUCCUUUGAAGGCGGAAGUUUGGAAUGCCAACACCCAAGCGAGCCUUCUGGCAAAACCAAGUAAUCAACAGGCACGGGGACUGAACAAUUGAAACAGCUCCUUAGACUGUGCUGUUCCUCUGAGGGGUGAAAGACAUCCGACCGACCAGGCAAAGAGCUCUGAGCUUUCGAGAGGCACCCCGCCCCCAAAGACUGCCCCGGUCAUCUAGGGUUCCAGGUCCCCGCCCUCAGCCCUGUCCUCACCUCCUUGGGCUCUGCGACGUCCAAGGACAUCCUGCCCUCUACGCCUUCCACCUGGCACCCCCACGCCCACCUGCACUUCCUUCCCUCCUUCCAGGCUGCUCCGCAGCCUCUACUUGGUGCGUCCUUCUCAGGCCCUUGCACCUAAUUCCCUGGGGCGCUUCCUCCAUUGGAGGCUCAGGAGAAGAGGUCUUGGGGUACUAGGGAGGUGACAGUCUGCUUUUUGAGGUCACUCCCCGGUGAGGCUGACACUGCUGCACUCGGAUCCCGCUUGGACGACAAGGUGCGCUUCCUCACCCUGCUCAGAGCCCACACGGGAGACCCUGGCCCUCACGCUGGAAACCGAGAUCCCUGACCAGAGCUCCCCCCACCGCCCCCGCCUUCAGCCCCCUCUCCAUUCCCACCCCUCCUCCAGGUGGCAUGUCAGCACCUUCUUCCAUUCUGAGCCCCAGCUCUCUGCCUCCCUCCCUCCUUCCCUGGAAUCCCCUCUUGCCUCCGCUCCAGCCUUCUGCCCCAAGUGGACCCCUAUGCCCUCCAAUUCGCCUUGCUCCUUAGACUCUGGUCCCUACUGGACUCCAAUCACCCUCUCCUCACUCCUGGAGGGAGGAGCAGGAGAUGGAGGGCAGGCAGGAGCACGCAGCCCUCUCAGCUGCUGCAGCUCAGUCAUUUCCUCGGGAGGGUCGUGCCUUCCCCCACUGCCCCCAGAGCUUCAAGUUCUUCCCAAUUCAGUGCUUCAGGCUGAGGCCUCUCAGUUCUGUUCCCUGACCGAGCGCUCCAUCACUUCUCUGUCCCCAUCCCACUGGGGCAGCAGUGCUGGACGGCCCAACUUCCCCUGAACCCCUAGGUCUUCAGAAUGCUCAGUGCUCCCCUUUCCCCAUCAAUGUGUAGGCCGAGUUCUGCCUUCCUUGUCAGCUAAGGGGCCCUGCUCUGCGGCUCCAGGGUCCUGAGGAUGGAUCCUCUGCCGGGAGGUGGCAACAGGUGCAGGACGGAGACAUGCAGGGCCAGCUGGGAGCCACCCUUGUGUCUGCAGGUGGUCCUGUGGGGGAGGAACCCUGGCAAUGACUGAACUUCCUGCUCCAUUGGGUGUGGGCAGUGUGUGCCCUGGGGACUUCAGAGAGCGUGCACAGGCCUUUUCUAAGUUGGCAGGACAGGCAUUGGAGUUGGGAAUUGGAGGUCACUGUCCCCCCGAAAUCCCACUCAUUUGGGAUGCAGCCUGCAAAUGCUGCACCCUGAAGGGCGCCCGGCCGGUGCCGAGGCCCAGGCGCUGGCGGCCCAGCACAGGGACGCUCUGCACUUGUGGCCGCUGCGGAGAGACAGAGUUCUUGGAUGGGAAGACUGAGCCCGCAUGCUCAGCAGCAGCCAGCUCCCUCAGCUCCUCACUCCUACCGGGAGCACCCCCAUCCCUCUGAGGCACCUGCCCCUGUCCCCAGCCCCAUCCCACCUCUCACAGCAGUCUGGGAGCUGACUGCCCCAGGGACUUCCUGAAGGCCCUUGCUCUCUUUGCUCUGCUCCCGAAGCCUGCUGGGCGGAGGCCAGCAUCUCAUAGGAACCAUCUUCUGAGCCUGUGGCUUUUCACUUCAUUUUCCUUUUUCUUGCGCGUUUUGUUCUUUGUCUUACUUUUAAAAGUGGCUAGGUGGCUCGCUGACAGCCACCCUUCUCCGCUUUUUCACUUGAAGCACUUUUGCCCUUCCCAUUUGCCCACAAGUCCCACUACCCCUGCUUCUUGGGAGCUUUCCAGAAAGUGCUUACACUGUCGCUGAUCCGUGUUUUCCAAUUUCCAUUCUCAUUUCUCCUUCAGGGCGUGAGUGUUUUUAAAAAACAAAAAAAAAGGCUUGAUUCCAAAGAGAUGGUGUCUCUCUGCUUUUCCUCCCGCUCCGUCUUCUCAGCUAACACUCCAGUGUUCCCAGAACGCUCCAUCUUGGCGUCUUUCUGCAGUUGGCACUCUGGACUGCUAUGGUGCAAACAUUCGUCGAUGUUCCAGGUUGUCUUGAAAGAAUGGAUUACAAUACGACAUCUGCCUAGGUCUCUCGAUCCAGUUUCCUGCCUUGUUCCAGUGUUCCGUGUCCUCACUGAUUUCUCGGCCUGCUUCACCGAAGAGUUACUGAGACUUCGGCUCUAAUCUCCCAGCAAACGGGUGAAUUCCAAGUGGCGUUUUCAAGAGAUGUGUCAACCUAGUCCACGUUUGCCCGGAACGCCUGCCCACUUUCUGGGAUCACAUGAAGCCAUCCGGGGUCGUGUAGUGACUGUUCCUACAGCAACAUGUUGUCGUGGGCAUCCAUUCCCCCAGGGCCAAUUCGAGGAACUCCAGGGUUUCCUUUGGGUAUUCUGGGAGCUGUGACACUCGGGGGCCUUCCAGCCCCUGGGAGAGACUGCCCCUGCCGGGACUGGCCAGUUCCUAAAGACGGUGAAUGGCUGUCUUGGGGGCUGGCCUUUCUGGUGCUAGACAACUUCUUCUUUCUCGUUUUCAAAUGUUUGGGAGCCUUUGUGGCCUCCGUGGCUUCAAAUGAACAUUUCCUAGCAGGCAAAUCCAAGGGGAUUUGGGCGGCUUUCUUGAGACACUACUAGCUCCUUUUCCAAGGCUCCUAAGCCAAGCCAGUCUUUUCCCUGCCCUGAAUUGUCCCAGGGCCAGAUCCCAGGCCACCAGACACCGCCCCUCUCGCUCCCCCCUCCAGGACGAUUCCGAUUGGACGACUUUCAACUGUUUGCUCCGCCCCACCACGGAGCCCUUCCUGGAAACCCCAAUAAAGGCUCUGUCUCAGGCCCUCCCCUCUCACUCUUCUCCGCCAACCCUCCCCAGGCCUGCGGCUUCUCCUGGGUCCCUGCCUGCUGCGUGGCGCCUCUCCCGACCGAAGGAGCGAAGCAGCAGCCUCGGGACCCAAUUCCUGCAUACAUGGUGUAAGCAAACAAUGUGAAACUUGGUUUCAGAAACAGAUGUGAAACUUGAUUUAAGAAACAGAAGUGAAACUUGAUUUAAGAAACAGAAGUGAAACCUGAUUUAGGAAACGAUCGACAGGACUUCAGAAAACUCUGUGAAGCUUGAUUUAAGAAACAGAUGUGAAAGUUGGUUUAAGAAACGAUCGACACGACUUCAGAAAGCUAUGUGAAACUUGAUUUAAGAGAAACCAGUUCGGCUGAUGUGGAAGACUCCGACCAUGUAGAAAUGGAGCCUGUUUUGCCUUCCUCGAGGACUGACAGUUGAAACGAUCAAUGGAAUGAUCAGCACAAACAGAAAAUAUUACUGUUACUGUAAUAUUAUGUGAUAUCCUCUAUAUCUAAGAUAUAUAUUAUAUAUAUGAUGUAAGAUAAGAUAUAUAUUAAAUAUAUAAUGUAAUAUAUAUUAUAUAACAUGUACUCUCUCUCUAUAUACAUAUGUAUCACGUAAUGUAUAUAUAUAAUGUAAUAUAAUAUUGCUGUUACUGGAAAGAUGACCGCAAGAAGUUGAUUUUUUAUCUACCAGAAGUUUUCUUCGCUGUGUUUUAAGUCGGCGAUCUGCUUUGAUCGUUUUGUUCGCUUCUGCUGUUUUGAGAAGAACGAUUUGAAAGUGAGCCAAAUAAAGUGUUCUUAAAUGGAA